rnacentral:snoRNA from 1 species
GAGCCCCCAUGAUGUCCAGCACUGGGCUCUGACUAACCAUGAGGAUGCUGUGCCCCCCGGGACCUUUGACACCCGGGGGUCUGAGGGGCUG